UACGUAGGGUGCAAGCGUUAAUCGGAAUUACUGGGCGUAAAGCGUGCGCAGGCGGUUUUGUAAGACUGUCGUGAAAUCCCCGGGCUCAACCUGGGAAUGGCGAUGGUGACUGCAAGGCUAGAGUUUGGCAGAGGGGGGUAGAAUUCCACGUGUAGCAGUGAAAUGCGUAGAUAUGUGGAGGAAUACCGAUGGCGAAGGCAGCCCCCUGGGCUAACACUGACGCUCAUGCACGAAAGCGUGGGGAGCAAACAGG
rnacentral:rRNA from 1 species